rfam:Bombyx mori DNA, contig: Bm_scaf202_contig41497, strain: p50T/Dazao, build 2, whole genome shotgun sequence.
UUAACUCAAAUUUGUAUGGAGUUGAAACUAUUGCUUACGUUGGCCGCUAGAGGCGCUGUUCCAACUGCAUACAAAUUAGAGUUA